rfam:Gossypium raimondii chromosome 11, whole genome shotgun sequence.
AAUCUAUGAUGUAGGCAAUUUCUUGACAUCGUCUUGAAGUGCUCCCAUGCCUCGUAUAGGGAUUCACCUUCAUAUUUUGUAAAAUUGGCAAUUUCUUGCCUAAGUUG